rnacentral:rRNA from 1 species
AAAUAAAAAUUGAAGUGUGCGGUCAUAAAGUGGGCUAUGUCUACGCAGAGGGUUUUCCGGACACACAUAUCAAGUCCAACAAACUAUACCAUGAAAUGUGUUGAAACGGGUUGUCCUGGGAAGGUGCACGGGCACGUGCCGAAGUAUAACAUCCACUGGGUUGUCACUGAUGUCGUCCCACGUAAUUGUGUGAGGAAAAACCUUCUGGUGAAUCAUCCAAACCUGACUUCAACUCUCAUUGCGCAACUUGUCGGGUGGUAG